rnacentral:rRNA from 1 species
CCCUACGGGGUGCACCAUGAAAACCUACGAUGUUGUCAUUGCCGGUGCCGGCUCUGUCGGUGUUCCGCUCGCCUGGCAGCUGGCUCAGCGAAAAUUGAAAGUUGCGGUUCUCGACCAUGAAAUGUCAUGGGGACGCGGGCAGAACAGGGCUGCAAUCGGCGGAAUCCGCGCUACGCAUUCGGAACCUGCCAAAAUACGGAUCUGCCUCGAAUCCAUCAAGAUUUUUUCAACCAUGAAGGAAUCCCAUGGACUUGAUGUCGAAUGGCAUCGAGGCGGCUACAUGUAUGUCGCCUACGAUGAGGAACGGAAACAGGCUUUUCACAAACUCCUCAAAAUUCAGAAAGAGGCGGGACUCAACAUUGACUGGAUUGAACCUGAAAAAGUCAUGGAAUGGGCGGGAGGGC